GCUCCACACACGAACAUUCUCAUCCUGUGAAAAAUUAUAUGUAAGAUGGGGGCGAUGGCAUAACACUGUAGUUCAACACGCUCACAGAUAAACAUACUCCCUCUGUUCCUCUCCCUUCCUUGGUGCUGCCGGUUUUCUUGUUGGCUUUUUAUGGUUCAUUUCUUUGGGAUGUCUUUAAUCAUUCUUCACUCCUGUAGAUGGAAAUAUGGCGGGAAAAGGAGCUUCUGGAGUGGUUGUAUAUCUAGUGGUCUACAACCUCAGACACCGGCAAGCUGGGUACAUAAAAAUCUCUGUAUCAGUCCAGGAAGGGCGACCCCAAGCAUAUACCAGCAGUUGAUGACAGCCGUAAAUGUGACCUAUGCACUGUAUCAUUACACUCCUUUUGUUUUCAAACCUACAGAACUGUAAUUUCGUAAGCGACACUUUUCAGAAUCAUUAUAUCAUCACACUGUCCUCCCCUCAAGCAUCUGCUGUGACUAGUAAUUGUUGGGUUGGUGCUAAUUGCGGUUGGAUUGCUGCUUUCUUUAGUUCUGUGGUUACUAUAAUCGACCCUUCCCCAGAGCCAGAGGAGAAAGUUCUCGUUACUAUGUCAGUGGUGAAAUCAUCAACAGACAGACAGUCAUAUAGUCGGCAAACCGGAGCCUGAAAAAUGAGCAUGCUAAAGUUUAAGGUACAGUUAUUUUUGUGUUAGUUUUGGCUGGAUUUUUUCCAGGCGGGAAAGUCCUAUCUGAGAACCCUGCUUGUUUCCUCUUAACUGUUUUGCUCUUCUAUACAUAAGGUUUGGGGCAUUUUUCUUCA